rnacentral:rRNA from 1 species
UAAUACAUGCAAGUCGAGCGAACAGAUAAGGAGCUUGCUCCUUUGACGUUAGCGGCGGACGGGUGAGUAACACGUGGGUAACCUACCUAUAAGACUGGAAUAACUCCGGGAAACCGGGGCUAAUGCCGGAUAACAUAUAGAACCGCAUGGUUCUAUAGUGAAAGAUGGUUUUGCUAUCACUUAUAGAUGGACCCGCGCCGUAUUAGCUAGUUGGUAAGGUAACGGCUUACCAAGGCGACGAUACGUAGCCGACCUGAGAGGGUGAUCGGCCACACUGGAACUGAGACACGGUCCAGACUCCUACGGGAGGCAGCAGUAGGGAAUCUUCCGCAAUGGGCGAAAGCCUGACGGAGCAACGCCGCGUGAGUGAUGAAGGGUUUCGGCUCGUAAAACUCUGUUAUUAGGGAAGAACAUAUGUGUAAGUAACUGUGCACAUCUUGACGGUACCUAAUCAGAAAGCCACGGCUAACUACGUGCCAGCAGCCGCGGUAAUACGUAGGUGGCAAGCGUUAUCCGGAAUUAUUGGGCGUAAAGCGCGCGUAGGCGGUUUCUUAAGUCUGAUGUGAAAGCCCACGGCUCAACCGUGGAGGGUCAUUGGAAACUGGGAAACUUGAGUGCAGAAGAGGAAAGUGGAAUUCCAUGUGUAGCGGUGAAAUGCGCAGAGAUAUGGAGGAACACCAGUGGCGAAGGCGACUUUCUGGUCUGUAACUGACGCUGAUGUGCGAAAGCGUGGGGAUCAAACAGGAUUAGAUACCCUGGUAGUCCACGCCGUAAACGAUGAGUGCUAAGUGUUAGGGGGUUUCCGCCCCUUAGUGCUGCAGCUAACGCAUUAAGCACUCCGCCUGGGGAGUACGACCGCAAGGUUGAAACUCAAAGGAAUUGACGGGGACCCGCACAAGCGGUGGAGCAUGUGGUGGUAAUUCGAAGCAACGCGAAGAACCUUACCAAAUCUUGACAUCCUUUGACCACUCUAGAGAUAGAGCUUUCCCCUUCGGGGGACAAAGUGACAGGUGGUGCAUGGUUGUCGUCAGCUCGUGUCGUGAGAUGUUGGGUUAAGUCCCGCAACGAGCGCAACCCUUAAGCUUAGUUGCCAUCAUUAAGUUGGGCACUCUAGGUUGACUGCCGGUGACAAACCGGAGGAAGGUGGGGAUGACGUCAAAUCAUCAUGCCCCUUAUGAUUUGGGCUACACACGUGCUACAAUGGACAAUACAAAGGGCAGCUAAACCGCGAGGUCAUGCAAAUCCCAUAAAGUUGUUCUCAGUUCGGAUUGUAGUCUGCAACUCGACUACAUGAAGCUGGAAUCGCUAGUAAUCGUAGAUC